ACGCUGGCGGCGUGCCUAACACAUGCAAGUCGAACGAGAUGCGUAUCGGAAAGCUUCGGCCGGAAGAUGCGUUAUCUAGUGGCGGACGGGUGAGUAACACGUGGGUAACCUGCCUUAUGGAGGGGGAUAACAGAGAGAAAUCACUGCUAAUACCGCAUAAGCACACAUUGCCGCAUGGCAGAGUGUGAAAAGAUUUAUCGCCAUAAGAUGGACCCGCGUCUGAUUAGCCAGUUGGCAGGGUAAAAGCCUACCAAAGCAACGAUCAGUAGCCGAUCUGAGAGGAUGACCGGCCACAUUGGGACUGAGACACGGCCCAAACUCCUACGGGAGGCAGCAGUGGGGAAUAUUGCACAAUGGGGGAAACCCUGAUGCAGCGACGCCGCGUGAGUGAAGAAGUAUUUCGGUAUGUAAAGCUCUAUCAGCAGGGAAGAUAAUGACAGUACCUGACUAAGAAGCCCCGGCUAACUACGUGCCAGCAGCCGCGGUAAUACGUAGGGGGCAAGCGUUAUCCGGAUUUACUGGGUGUAAAGGGAGCGUAGACGGAAUGGCAAGUCUGAAGUGAAAACCCCGGGCUCAACCUGGGGACUGCUUUGGAAACUGUUGUUCUAGAGUGUUGGAGAGGUAAGUGGAAUUCCUGGUGUAGCGGUGAAAUGCGUAUAUAUCAGGAAGAACACCGGAGGCGAAGGCGGCUUACUGGACAAUAACUGACGUUGAGGCUCGAAAGCGUGGGGAUCAAACAGGAUUAGAUACCCUGGUAGUCCACGCUGUAAACGAUGAAUACUAGGUGUCGGGGAGCAAAGUUUCUCGGUGCCGUCGCUAACGCAAUAAGUAUUCCACCUGGGGAGUACGUUCGCAAGAAUGAAACUCAAAGGAAUUGACGGGGACCCGCACAAGCGGUGGAGCAUG
rnacentral:rRNA from 1 species